AAGUCGUAACAAGGUUUCCGUAGGUGAACCUGCGGAAGGAUCAUUAUUGAAUACGCUUUUGGGUGUUGACGCUGGCCUUUCGAGGCAUGUGCUCGCAUUCAAACUGUUUAAAUCUUCACUUGUGCACCUUUUGUAGUCUUGGGAGGAGACUAUGUUUUCAUAUACAUUGAAAAGUUACAGAAUGUCUUGAGGCCUUUAUAAAGUUAAUACAACUUUCAACAACGGAUCUCUUGGCUCUC
rnacentral:misc_RNA from 1 species